rnacentral:rRNA from 1 species
AUUGAACGCUGCGGCAUGCUUAACACAUGCAAGUCGAGCGAGCGUCGGACGGGUGCGUAAUGCUUAGGAAUCUGCCUAUUAGUGGGGGACAACAUCUCGAAAGGGAUGCUAAUACCGCAUACUUAUAGAUGACCCUAAGUCGGAUUUGCUCGUUGGUGGGGUAAAGGCCUACCAAGGCGAAGAUCUGUAGCGGGUCUGAGAGGAUGAUCCGCCAAACGGGGACUGAUACAAGGGCCAGACUCCUACCGGAUGCAGCAGGGGGGAAUAUUGGACAAUGGGGGGAACCCUUAACCAGCCAUGGCGGGGGUGGUAAGAAGGCCUUAUGGUUGUAAAGCACUUUAAGCGAGGAGGCGGUACUCGAAGAGUAAGCAACGGCUAACUAUGUGCCAGCAGCCGCGGUAAUAC